GACGAACGCUGGCGGCGUGCCUAACACAUGCAAGUCGAGCGGGGUUGAAGCGAGGGGUAACUCGAGUUUCUACCUAGCGGCGGACGGGUGAGUAACGCGUGGGCAACCUGCCUCAAGGACUGGGAUAACAGCUCGAAAGGGCUGCUAAUACCGGAUAUGCCUGUGGCCUCGCAUGGGGCUAUGAGCAAAGGGGAAACCCGCCUUGAGAUGGGCCCGCGUCCCAUCAGCUAGUUGGUGAGGUGAAGGCUCACCAAGGCGACGACGGGUAGCCGGCCUGAGAGGGUGACCGGCCACACUGGGACUGAGACACGGCCCAGACUCCUACGGGGGCAGCAGUGGGGAAUCUUGCACAAUGGGCGAAAGCCUGAUGCAGCGACGCCGCGUGGAGGACGAAGCCCUUCGGGUGUAAACUCCUUUUCUCAGGGAAAAGGAUGAUGGUACCUGAGGAAUAAGCCCCGGCUAACUACGUG
rnacentral:rRNA from 1 species